GAAAAGUUACCACAGGGAUAACUGGCUUG
rnacentral:ncRNA from 5 species